CCUACGGGUGGCAGCAGUGGGGAAUAUUGGACAAUGGGGGGAACCCUGAUCCAGCCAUGCCGCGUGUGUGAAGAAGGCCCUCGGGUUGUAAAGCACUUUCAGUGAGGAAGAACGCCUGGUGGUUAAUACCCAUCAGGAAAGACAUCACUCACAGAAGAAGCACCGGUUAACUCCGUGCCAGCAGCCGCGGUAAUACGGAGGGUGCGAGCGUUAAUCGGAAUUACUGGGCGUAAAGCGCGCGUAGGUGGCUUGAUAAGCCGGUUGUGAAAGCCCCGGGCUCAACCUGGGAACGGCAUCCGGAACUGUCCAGCUAGAGUGCAGGAGAGGAAGGUAGAAUUCCCGGUGUAGCGGUGAAAUGCGUAGAGAUCGGGAGGAAUACCAGUGGCGAAGGCGGCCUUCUGGACUGACACUGACACUGAGGUGCGAAAGCGUGGGUAGCAAACAGGAUUAGAUACCCCAGUAGUC
rnacentral:rRNA from 1 species